rnacentral:rRNA from 1 species
GAUGAACGCUAGCGGCAGGCUUAAUACAUGCAAGUCGUGGGGCAGCAUGAGUAGCAAUACUUGAUGGCGACCGGCAAACGGGUGAGGAACACGUACACAACCUUCCUUCAAGCGGGGAAUAGCCCAGAGAAAUUUGGAUUAAUACCCCAUAAUAUAUUUGAUAAGGCAUCUUAUUAAUAUUAAAGCUUCGGCACUUGAUGAUGGGUGUGCGGCUGAUUAGAUAGUUGGCGGGGUAACGGCCCACCAAGUCUACGAUCAGUAGCUGAUGUGAGAGCACGAUCAGCCACACGGGCACUGAGACACGGGCCCGACUCCUACGGGAGGCAGCAGUAAGGAAUAUUGGACAAUGGACGAAAGUCUGAUCCAGCCAUGCCGCGUGAAGGAUUAAGGUCCUCUGGAUUGUAAACUUCUUUUAUAUGGACGAAAAAAGGCAUUCUGUUCACUUGACGGUACCAUAUGAAUAAGCACCGGCUAACUCCGUGCCAGCAGCCG